CGAUAGUUCACGUUUAAAUUUACUUAUUCUUGUAAAAUCAAUUUGUAUACCGCCGUCAUCAGAUUAUCUUUUUAGAGGAAAAAUUUUCUUUAUAUUUAAGUAAAUAGAAUGUCAGGUCAAGGUGCAGUUUAUGAAUAAGUGGAGAUGGAUUACAAUAAAAUUAUUUAUAUGGAGAUUUACUUGAAAUUGUAAGUUGAAGGUGGAU
rnacentral:rRNA from 2 species